CCGCAAGGCUAAAACCCAAAGGAAUUGACGGUGGCUUACACAAGCGGUGGAGCAUGUGGUUUAAUUCGAAACAACGCGCAAAACCUUACCAAUCCUUGACAUAUGAAAAACCAGGGUGUUUACCCGCUCUGUCUCUUUUAUACAGGUGCUGCAUGGCUGUCGUCAGUUCGUGGUGUGAGCUGUUGGGUUAAGUCCCAGAACGAACGCAACCCUCCUUUGAAAUGAAGGUUUACCUUUUUCAAAGACUGCCAAGGAUAUCUUGGAGGAAGGUGAGGAUGACGUCAAGUCCGCAUGGCCCUUAUGGGUUGGGCUACACACGUGCUACAAUGGGAAUGACAAAAGGAGGCAACAUGGCAACAUUGAGCAAAUCCCAAAAAGUUUCCUUAGUUCGGAUUGUUCUCUGCAACUCGAGAACAUGAAGUUGGAAUCGCUAGUAAUCGUAGAUCAGCACGCUACGGUGAAUUUGUAUCUAAGCCUUGUACACACCGCCCGUCACACUCUGAAAAUUCUCAUGCCUUGAAGCAAAAGAAGUUCACCAAGAACACACAGCGCAAGUAAAAAAACAUCUUCCCUUUUUUUUCUGUGUCUUUGUUGGAACCUUUUCUAGAGUUAGGGAGGUGAUUGGAGUG
rnacentral:rRNA from 1 species